CUAUCGCUGAUAAAUAUGGUACUUGAGACAUAUAUGCCUUUUCCACUUUUGUGCUAGGACAUUAUUCUGAAGGCAACUUACAACCAAGAUGAAAUGGAGUACUGACUGGGUUAGAAUUUUGUAUGUUGAAGCGGUGUAGAACUUUUUCAACAUAACUCUUCUAGGUUAUCUAGAUUUUCUUCUUCUUCUUGUUUUUAAGUAUGAUUAUCCCAAGAAUAUGAUUAACGACACCUAAAUCCUUCAUAUCUCAUUUUCUAGUCAAAUGAGCUUUUAAUGCUGCAAUAGUAUCUAUACUAGUACCUGCAAUUAGCAUGUCAUUUACAUAUAAUAACAAGAUAAUAAUGUUGCCAUUACCAUAGCUACAAGCAUAGGCACAAUAGUUUGCCUCACAACUAUGAAAUCCCAAUCUCACAAUGAAGGAAUCAAGCCGCCUAUACUAGCACCUUAACGCCUGCUUUAAACCGUAAAGCGAUUUGUGUAGUCGACAAAUUAGAUUCUUCUUGUUUUUUCAAUAAAGCCUUCGGGUUGAGUUAUAUAAAUUUCUUUAUUAAGAUUUCAUGUAGAAAACUAGUUUUUACAUCCAACUGCUUAAGCUGUAAGUCAAGCACCAGUGUCAUAGUCAACAUAGUAUGAAUAGUACUUAAUCAGACAACAUGAAAUAAAGUUUCAUUAAAGUUAAUAUCUGAUUUCUAAGCAUACCCUUUUACCACUAAUUGAGCUUUGUAUCUUUCAACAUUUCUAUUAGUAUAUUUUUUCAGCUUGUAAACCCAUCUACCAUCAAUAGCUUUCCGCCUAUUAGGUAAUUCAACUAAUUCUCAAGUCCUGUUUUUAUGCAAAACUUUCAUCUCUUCCUCUGUGGACACUUUUCAUUGGCUAACAUGUACAUAUUCAUAUGCCUCUUACUAUGAAUAAGGCUCGUGCUUAUCUGUCAUUCAAGUGUAGCCGUAGCAUAAUCUUUGAGCCAAACAAAAGAUUUUGUAACUCUCUUCGGUCAACCUUGUUUAUUUUGAAUUUCACCACCUAAUAUCUUAUCCGCAUGCUCUUCAUCAUCUUCAUCUUUAACAUCAUCAACUUGUUGAUCUUCUUAAUCAACAUGCUGAUUUUGAACAUCGUUUGGAGAUUCCUAUUCAACUAUCUCUCAUGAUUCUGAGCUUGGCGAUUUUAUGUUUUUCUGUAGCGAAUACUCAUUAAAAAUCAUAUAUCGGCUAAUCACCAACUUGUGAACAGUAUGGUCUCACAAUCUAUACCCAUGUUCUAUCUGCAUUGCCAAGAAAAAUACUCUUUUUAGACCUUGCAUCUAGCUUAGUCAUGUGUUCUUUGGGAAUCCACACAUAAACGUCACAACCAAAAGCACAAAGGAAUGGAUAAUUAACAGGUUUUUCGAACCAUACUUCUUCAUAUAUAUUGCAAUCUAGUGCAGUCAUCAGUGAACGAUUUAUCAAGUAACAAGUCGUGUUAACGACUUCCGUCCAAAAAACAUUGCUCCAGCCUAACUGAACUACGCACGCUCUUAGCACGAUCCAUAAGUGUAUAGUUUAUACAUUCAACAACUCCGUUACGCUAUGGAGUACUAAGGACCAUGUAGUGCCUCUCAAUGCCAUGCUUACUGUAAAAAUUCUUAAAUUAUUUUGAGGUGUAUUCUCCUCUGUUAAAAUAGAGACACCAAAAUCACCGGGGGUUUAGUCACUUUCUUGAGCCCAUAUAUUAGUAGACCCUUAUCUUUGAAAAGUUCAAGUGGGUCGAAAGUGGAAGCUCUUAUGACAAUAGGAAGGUCGAAUGACCAUGGUAGCAAAUCGAAGAAUUCUUCAAGAAGCAAGUCUCGGGGCUGAUCAACAUCAAAGGGUGACAAAGGCGCUUGUUGGGUAUGUGGCAUGACUGGUCACUUAAAGAAAGAUUGUUGGAAAAGGAAAAACAAAAAUUCAAAAGAAUCUGAUUCAAACAAUGACAAGCAACAUUCCGAAUCCAAGAAUGAGGCCAAUCAAGUAGAGAUGUCAACAUUGGCGUGUAUUGAAGAUGAAGUGUUGGUGGCAGGUUCUAAUCCGACAUUUUAUCAAAAUUGGAUACUGGAUAGUGGUGCCCUCAUUAUAUAUGUCCUAAUCACUUGUAGUUUAGCUCGUAUGAAUCGCAUGAGGGCAGUAUUAUAUUGAUGAGAAAUGACUCAACUAGCAAAACGGUUGGGAUUAGUUCGGUCGCAUUGAAGAUAUUUAAUGGAAUGACCAUUAGACUUGAAAACAUGAGGCAUGUGUUGGGAUUGAAAAGAAGCUUGAUCUUCCCUCUCGGAAUUAGAUUCGGAUGGUUGUAAAUUUACAGGGCAGGCGGGAGUACUCAAAGUCUCCAAAGAAGCUCGCGUCAUAAUGAAAGGCAUCUAGGUUAAAAAUUUGUACAAGUUGCUAGGAAGCACAGUGACAAAUGACAUGGAAAAUGUGGUUGUGGAGAAUGGUGAACUUCCAUUGCAGUUAUGGCAUAUGAGGUUGGGUCACAUGAGUGAGAGAGCUGUGGAAGUGUUGGUGAAAAGGAAUUUAAUACCCAUGAUGAAGUUUGGUGAAAUGGAAUUUUGUGGAUACUGUCUCCAUGGGAAACAACAUAGGCGGAAGUUCUUAAAAAAUAGUCACACAAGCAAAGUUGUCCUUGAUUGCAUACACACAGAUGUGUGGGGGCCGUCACCGACCGCUUCUCAUGGCGGUUCUUUAUACUUCGUCUCAUUCAUUGAUGAUUUCUCAAGAAAAGUAUGGGUGAAAACAUUAAGGUCCAAGAGUGAUGUAUUUACAGCUUUCAAGCAUGUCAAGGCAGAGGUGGAGAAGCAAACAGGGCCCUACAUCAAGACUCUUAGGAUGGAUAAUGGGAAAGAAUUUACUUUAAAUGAAUUCCUCAAGUUUUGCAAGGACGAAGGAAUCAAGUGACACUUCACAAUUGUCUGCACUCCUCAACAAAAUGGCGUGGCUGAAAGAAUGAAUCGUAAGCAUGUUGGCCAGGCUUAAGGAAGAAAUGUGGGCGGAAGUUGUAUCAAUGGCUUGCUAUCUCAUCAACCGAUCACCAUUUAUGGCCCCAGAGGAGAAAACACCACAAGAGGUAUGCUCUAGAACUCCUUGUGAUUAUUAUGAAUUAAAGAUAUUAGGCUAUGAUGCAUUUACUUUAAUUCUUAGUUGUCAAAGAAACAAAUUAGAACCUAAAUCCAAGAAAUGUGUUUUUGUUGGUUAUGCAAAUGAGCAAAAGGCCUAUCGUUUGUGGGAUCCGAUGAGCAAGAAAAUUAUCAUUAGCCAGGACGUUCAUUUUGAUGAGUCUCAUGUGCUUUUAUGAGGUUCAAAAGGUCAAAAUGAGGAGAAAGAAGGUCCGCGACAAUAUGAUGUUCAAUGUUUUGAAGAUGCACUGUAAUGUUUGGUGCCGAAUAUUGCAAAUCCCAUGAAUCAAGAAAGAUGAUCAAGAUGAAACUAAAGGAAUUGAAGAAGAUGGUGAAGAAGAGGCACAACCUAUGACGAAACGUCUAUGUCAUGAAAGCCGUCAACCGACAUAUUUCAAAGAUUAUGUGGAUCCUACAACAUUGAGGACUCUAAUCACCGAAGAUCAAGAACCAAGCUCUUUUGAAAAAGCUAUGCGGGGUGAAGAUUCAAAAAAAUUGAAAGAAGGCCAUGCAAGAAGAAAUGUUUGCACUUAAAAAAAAAUAAAUCAUACAUGGGUUUUGGUGGAAUUGUCAAAGGGUCGUAAGGUGGUUGGUUGCAAGUGAGUUUAUAAAAUCAAGGAAAGUGCAAGCUGUAAAAUUGAAAGAUAAGGCAAGACUAGUUGCCAAGGGCUUUACACAAAAGGAAGGGACCUUGAGGAAGAAGUAUACAUACAACAUUUAGAAGGGUUUGUUGUAAAGGGUAAGGAGAAUCUCGUAUGCAAGUUGAAUAAAUCAUUAUAUAGCCUCAAGCAAGUAUCAGGGGAAUGGUAUAAAAAGUUUGACUAUUUUAUGUUAAGUCUUGAAUAUAAAAGAAAGUGAUUAUAACCAUUACCUGCAUUUCAAGUUUUUAGGAGAUAAAAAUUUUCUUAUCUUGAUUUUCUAUAUUGAUGAUAUGCUUUUGCAAUGCAAAGAUAAGGGAAGGAUUGAUGAGUUGAAGGCUCAAGUAAGUAGAAAAUUUAAAAUGAAGGAUUUAAGGAUGGCACGUCAAAUCCUUGGAAUGGAGAUAGAACGGGAUAGACAAAGUGGAACCUUGUCACGUUAUCAAAUGAGGUUUAUUGAAAAGGUGCUCAACAAGUUUAGCAUGAGCAAUGCAAAGCUGGUAAAGACUCCAUUAGCCAUUCAUUUCAUGUUAUCUUCUAAACAAAGUCCAGAGUCGGAGGAGGAAAAAGAAUAUAUAGCUCGGGUUCUAUAUGCAAGUGUUGUUGGAAGUUUGAUGUUUGCUAUGGUAUGUAUUAGGCCGGACAUAGCUUGUGCGGUUGGGGUGCUUAGUCGUCUUAUGGAAAAUCUGGGGAAACCAUAUUGGGAGGCAACGAAAUGGGUAUAUGAUACUUGAGAGGUACAAGUAAUCAUGUGCUUACAUAUAGCAAAGGGGCAAAGGUGAUGCAUGUUUUUGUUGAUGCAAAUUUUGCCAGUGAUCUUGAUAAGCGAAGAUCGACUACGGAAUAUGUAUUUCGUUAUGCAAAUGGUCUUAUAGGUUGGAUGUCAAAGCUUCAAGGAAUCGUAGCAUUGUCGACUACGGAUGCUGAGUACAUGGCAGCAACGGAAGCUUGUAAGGAGGCAGUUUGGAUUGAAGAACUUAUGGGAGAGAUAGGUUUUGUUUGUAAACCUAUGGAUUUGUUUUGUGACAAUAUGAGCACCAUUUAUUUGGCGAAGAAUCCGAUUAAUCGCAAGAGAAGCAAGUACAUUGCAAGUAGACACCAUUUCAUUAGUCAGGUCAUUGAAGAUGGACAAAUUCAUUUGUUGAACUAGGAAUGAAGGAGAAUGUAGCAGAUAUGCUUUCAAAGACUAUUCAAGUGGAGAAGUUAGAUUGGAGCUUGACUUCUCUAGGCUUCAAGUCUAGGUAAUGAUGGUGGUUUGGCAAGGCAAGGAAGUGAUUUUGCUAUUACCAAUUGUUAAAAUAGUUACACCAAAAUCACUAUGGGUUUAGCCACUUUCUUGAGCCCAUAUGACCCAUGUUUCAUAUGCUAACAAGGUCCAAUUGUUAGUAGACCCUUGAAUGGGUAUUUUUGACAUUUAACUUGUCAAAAGGGGGCUUUUAGGGUAAGUUGUAUUGGAGUUAAUAGAGUUAUGACUUUUAGAGAGUGAAAGAGGGUUUUCUCUUGCAUGAGCGUUUCAAGAAAUGGGUUUUCUUCUUAAAGGCUAUAUUCAAGGCUUUAAGGUUUUUCAAGAGGUGCUCCCAAGGAUUUCUACUCGAGGUUUCGAGGGUGAGAAGAUCUAUUGCUAGCAUUGCAAUGGUGGAUGACUUUUCUUUUGAGCUUGGAAUCAAGAGGGUUUUGUUGUAUUCUUGAAAAAUGUACUAUGUUCCUUAUUUCUUUGUAAUCUCUCCUUGCCAUAGUGAAUUUUCUUUGCUGAAUUGCUCGUGAAUGUAACCCAAGCGGUGAACCAUGUAUAUUGUGUGUUCUUGUGUGGUUGUGGUUUUGGGUUUUUCUUCAUUAUCUUCUUUCUAUUUAUUGCACACAAUCCUCGCAUAUUUUGCAUGCUAUUAGAAUCAAAGGGGCGUUUGAUUUUGGUAGCGUGUUGCUUGGGCAGUGGUUUAAUUGCAUCAAGUAGUCGGUGAUGGUUUAAUCGCUUCAUCCACUAUUAUCUGUUCUUAAACACUUAAUUUUUUUUCCCUUAUAAUUUUCAACUAAUGUUUUGAACUUGAUAAAACAAGAAAAAAACUACUCUUCCUUUUCAACAUGUAAACCCAUAUUUUCAUGAAGAAAUCAUCAACAAAAAAACAGAAUACUUCAAACCUCCUAGGGAAUCAACAAGAGGCUGAGGCUCCUAAGCAUUAGAAUGAAUUAGAUUUAAAACAUCCUUACUUUUUGUAGUGGAUGAGGAUAAAUGAGUUCCAUGUAGCUUUCUAAAUAGGCAAUUGUAAAAAAAAAUAAUAAAGUAAAAUCUAAAUUAAGUGCUUUAAACUAGGAAAUAAAUUUCGAUUAAGAAGUACCUUUAGUCAUUGCUUUCUAUUAUAGCCCAACCACCUGUGACAGACAUGAUAUGCCAUAAAGGCCAUUAUUGGGUCGUAAAGGCCGUUCCUGAAGGUGACAAUGGUAGUCAUUACACGUUACUGGGCCAUAACGACUAUGACAAUCAUCAUGGAAAAAAAUGAUCUGUAGCUAUCGUUAACGGCCAAUUACGCUUCCUUUAAAGUCCAUAAUAGCCCCGUAAUGGUCUGUUACAUGACAUAUAUAGGUUUUUCGAUUUUUUUUCAACGUUACAGGGCAGAUAUAAGUUUUUGGGUUUUUUUUUUUUAAUUUUU